GUGGCUGGUUAAGUUCUAGGGGCUAGAACUCUUGAAGCAAGGUGAAGGAGUGCUGUCCUUUGUUCAAUUUUCAUGUGAAUCACUGUUGAAGGAUAGAUACUUGGAUGCCUCAUAAAAAUUAGAUUAACAUUAUAGGUAUUCUUCUGAUCCAAAUUUAUUUUAUUGUACUUUGAUUGAUAUACUCAAGAGUUUCUGGGCAUUAGGAUUUUCGGUGCAUUAGGUAUUUUUAAUGAAAAUUUUAAACACCUAAUCCUUUUGCUGUACCACCGAAAUACAACAC
rnacentral:lncRNA from 1 species